GGCUCCGUGUUUUUGCAGGUCAAGCGCAUGUUCUGUGUCGCAGAGGCGUCCGCCUUGUAAGCGGUAGGUCAGGGGUUCGAUUCCCCUCGCUG
rnacentral:tRNA from 1 species